AACCUCCGCAAUGUGAGAAAUCGCGACGGGGGGAUCCCAAGUGCCAUUCUUAACGGGAUGGCUUUUCAUUAGUGUAAAGAGCUUUUGGAAUAAGAGCUGGGCAAGACCGGUGCCAGCCGCCGCGGUAACACCGGCAGCUCUAGUGGUAGCAAUUUUUAUUGGGCCUAAAGCGUCCGUAGCCGGUUUAAUAAGUCUCUGGUGAAAUCCUGCAGCUUAACUGUGGGAAUUGCUGGAGAUACUAUUAGACUUGAGAUCGGGAGAGGUUAGAGGUACUCCCAGGGUAGAGGUGAAAUUCUGUAAUCCUGGGAGGACCGCCUGUUACGAAGGCGUCUAACUGGAACGAUCCUGACGGUGAGGGACGAAAGUUAGGGGCGCGAACCGGAUUAGAUACCCGGGUAGUCCUAACUGUAAACGAUGCGGACUUGGUGUUGGGGUGGCUUUGAGCUGCUCCAGUGCCGAAGGAAGCUGUAAGUCCGCGCCUGGAAGUACGGUCGCAAGACUGAAACUUAAAGGAAGU
rnacentral:rRNA from 1 species